rnacentral:rRNA from 1 species
UGAAUACGAGACGCUAAGGCGUCGAAGUAGUGUAUGUCAUACUUCCAAGAAAAGCUUGCACUGUCAUAGAUAAAAAACGCCUGUACCAUAACCGACACAGGUGGGUAGGUAGAGUAUACUAAGGGGCGCGAGAUAACUCUCUCUAAGGAACUCGGCAAAAUAACUCCGUAACUUCGGGAGAAGGAGUGCCUUAUUCGUAAGGUUGCAAUAACAAGAUCCAAGCAACUGUUUAUCAAAAACACAGGUCUCCGCUAAGUCGUAAGACGAUGUAUGGGGGCUGACGCCUGCCCAGUGCCAGAAGGUUAAAGAAGUUGGUUAGCAAUUGCGAAGCUGAUAACUGAAGCCCUGGUGAACGGCGGCCGUAACAAUAACGGUCCUAAGGUAGCGAAAUUCCUUGUCGGGUAAGUUCCGACCCGCACGAAAGGCGUAAUGAUUUGGAUACUGUCUCGGAGAGGGGCUCGGUGAAAUAGACUUGUCUGUGAAGAUGCGGACCACCUGCACCAGGACAGAAAGACCCUAUGAAGCUUUACUGUAACUUGAAAUUGAAAUUGGACUUUAUUCGCGCAGUAUAGGUGGGAGGCGUUGAUUAUAAUCUUGUGGGAUUAUUGGAGCCAUCAGUGAGAUACCACUCUUGUAAUGUUAGAUUUCUAACUUUGAAUCAUUAUCUGGUCAAAGAACAGUUUCAGGCGGGCAGUUUGACUGGGGCGGUCGCCUCCUAAACGGUAACGGAGGCGUACAAAGGUUUCCUCUGAACGGUUAGAAAUCGUAUCUAGAGUGUAAAGGCAUAAGGAAGCUUGACUGUGAGACCUACAAGUCGAGCAGGGACGAAAGUCGGUCUUAGUGAUCUGACGGUACUGAGUGGAAAGGCCGUCACUCAACGGAUAAAAGUUACUCUAGGAUAACAGGCUGAUCUCCCCCAAGAGUUCACAUCGACGGGGAGGUUUGGCACCUCGAUGUCGGCUCAUCGCAUCCUGGGGCGGUAGUACGUCCCAAGGGUUGGGCUGUUCGCCCAUGAAAGCGGUACGCGAGCUGGGUUCAGAACGUCGUGAGACAGUUCGGUCCAUAUCCGGUGUAGGCGUUAGAAUAUUGAGAGGAGCCUUCUUUAGUACGAGAGGACCGAGAAGGACAUACCUCUGGUGUACCAGUUAUCGUGCCAACGGUAAACGCUGGGUAGCUAUGUAUGGAGUGGAUAACCGCUGAAAGCAUCUAAGUGGGAAGCCCACCUCAAGAUAAG